UACGUAGGGGCCUAGCGUUGUCCGGAAUCAUUGGGCGUAAAGAGCUCGUAGGCGGCUCGGUAAGUCGGGUGUGAAACCCCCAGGCUCAACCUGGGGACGCCACCCGAUACUGCUGUGGCUAGAGUCCAGUAGGGGAGUGUGGAAUUCCCGGUGUAGCGGUGAAAUGCGCAGAUAUCGGGAGGAACACCAGCGGCGAAGGCGGCACUCUGGGCUGGAACUGACGCUGAGGAGCGAAAGCGUGGGGAGCGAACAGG
rnacentral:rRNA from 1 species